UACGUAGGGUGCAAGCGUUGUCCGGAAUUAUUGGGCGUAAAGAGCUCGUAGGCGGUCUGUCGCGUCGGAUGUGAAAUCUCGAGGCUCAACUUCGAGCUGUCGGUGGAAACUAUCUGGCUAGAGUCCGGAAGAGGAGAAUGGAAUUCCUGGUGUAGCGGUGAAAUGCGCAGAUAUCAGGAAGAACACCCGUGGCGAAGGCGGUUCUCUGGGACGGUACUGACGCUGAGACGCGAAAGCGUGGGGAGCGAACAGG
rnacentral:rRNA from 1 species